CGCCUCUUGCUAACAAAGGAAGUACUAGAGGUCCCGCCUGCCCUGUGACCACAAAGUUUAACGGCCGCGGUAUCCUGACCGUGCGAAGGUAGCGUAAUCAUUUGUCUUUUAAAUAGAGACCUGUAUGAAUGGCAUAACGAGGGUUUAACUGUCUCCUUCCCCCAGUCAAUGAAAUUGAUCUGCCCGUGCAGAAGCGGACAUAAAUACAUAAGACGAGAAGACCCUAUGGAGCUUUAGACAAAAGAUCAAACAUGUAAAGAAACCAAAACAACCAAAAGGAACACGAAGGCCACAAAACCCAACGUAAACUGAUCUAAAUGUCUUCGGUUGGGGCGACCAUGGGGGAAAGAAAAGCCCCCACGAGGAACAGGGACAACCCCUAAACUAAGAGGGACACCUCUAAGCAACAGAAAAUCUGACCAAAAUGACCCAGGAUACUAAUCCUGAUCAACGAACCAAGUUACCCUAGGGA
rnacentral:rRNA from 1 species